GAGAAUUGAAAGCAGUAGCUUUCAAUCAAAUUGCUCUCUCUCUCUCUCUCUCUCUCUCUCUCUCUCUCUCUCUCUCUCUCUUUCUUAGGAUUUUAAAAGAAUGCUGGCCUGGGCAGCCAAGGCUCUCUCCUAAACUCUUCCACUGUUUUUCUUUGCUCUCUGAUGUUUUGAGAUGAAACCUGUUUUCUGAGAGUGUUUUCAUCUCUCCUUCUGCCCCUUCCUGGCCUUAGAGAAUUCCGAGACCUAUGGGCCCAGGACAAGUGCCAGCAAGCCUGUGCGUUCAUCUGCCAGGCUCCUGCAUGCCUGCUCUGCCAUGCUUUCUACAGUCAACUCAGAGCCCCAUGAGAACAUUCUAACAUGGGCACUGCAUGAGAGAGCUACAUCAGAAACAGCUGCCUUUCUGUGCUUUCCAGUCUGGUGUCAAUCAGCCCUGGUAAGCCAUUAUCUGAGGAACUUCUCUAUGUCCACCACAACCCUUGGGUCACCAAGGAUGUAUCCAGGCUCAGAUAGGGCUCCAGGACCAAGCUGCACUGAAAGAUUCAAGGAUUUAUCAAAUGAACCUUCUAUUCUCAUACCAGUAGUCAACAGAUCCACUUACAAGUUCCCCCCACUAUAGACAGCUCCACCCACUGCUGUGGCUCUCCGUCUUCGUCCUGUUUAUACCUAACUUAUGCCUCUAUGCUGCCCUCACAAAAGUGCUUUCUUGCUGGGCACAAGAGGUUGGGUACCUAG
ensembl:lncRNA